UAGAGCACAGGCUUGGAGCUUUCUGGACUGGUAUGGUGUUCCUCUCCAUGGGUUGAAGCUUUCUGAAGUUGUCUGGUAACACUCUGUGUGUUGUGGUCAUCUCAACUGCAACAUAUGCUGAGAGAAACACUAAAUUACAGAGGGAAGACAUCUGUUCCCCUUGUGAAGAAGCUGUAGACCACAAUGAUGUCCCACCUCAGUCUCCUAUUCUCCACGCUGAACAAGCCAGGUGCUUUUAGCAGGGAAAUGUAUCUCAUUUGCCAGUUCUCUGAGGACUUUGAUGCAAUGACAGUCAGCUGUCAAACCCAGCCUCUAAGAACUGUCCCAUAUGGAGAUAACUGUCCUAGAGGCCUGAAUACUGACAUAACAAAAAUGAUACAGCCCGAAAGCCAACCACAUCCUGGUCUGCAUCAAAAGAAGUGAGGCCAGCAGGUCAAGGGAGCUGAUUCUCUCCCUCUACCCCUCUCAUGAGACCCCACCUGGAGUGCUGUGUCCAGCUCUGGGGCUCCCAACACAAGAAGGAUGUGGACCUACUGGAGCGACUGCAGAGGAGGCCAUGAAGAUGAUCUCAGGGCUGGAGAACCUCUCCUGUGAGCAUGAGCUGAGAGAGCUGCGUGGGGUGGUUCAACCUGGAGAAGAGGAAGCUCUGGAAAAACCUCAUUGUGGCCUUCAAAUCUUUAAGGGGGGCCUAGAAGUUUGCCAGAGAGUGACUUUUUACAAUGGCAUGUCAGGGUGAGGGAGAAUGGCUUCAAGCUGAAGAGGGGCAAGUCUACUUUAGACGUUAGGAAGAAAUUCUUUACAGUGAGGGUGGUGAGGCACUGGAACAGGUUGCCCAGAGAAGUUGUAGAUGUCCCAUUCCUGGAAGCAAAUUAGAACAGUGCUUGAGGAGUUCAGACAUCUGGUUUAGGCAUCUGACUCCAGGACCAGUCACCAUCUGAGCAGACAGUUACCAAGUUCUAAAAUGCACUAAGUCUGUGUGUAGCAGCAAUGAAGAACAAAAUGACAUCUGAAGAAAUCUGUUUGUUCAGAAGGAACACUAAGAGUUCUCAUGCUUCCAAAACUGAAAAUGUCUACAGAUGCAAAAAGGGACUGUCUCCUUCCUCAGUGCUUCUCUAUGUAAUAUCUGGUUUUCAAUGAAAACAAGUUAGUGUAUUCCUAAUAUUUGUGCUCUUUGUAGGAGCAUCACAAUUUUGUUACAUUAAAUAAAUGUUCAGUAUGAUGGUAGAAAGAUCACUACUUCUCAAGACAUGGGUGAAGACCCCUUUUUACUCUGUGUUUAAUGCAAAGAUAGGGUUCUGAUUUCAGAAAUAUAGUCUCUGCAGUGUUUGAGCAUCUCAAAAUUUGACAGUGAAAAUGCUUAGCUAUUCAUAAGUGGGGCAAACCAAUUAAUUUAUCUGCCUGAUUUCUGACACUGGCCAAUGACAGAUAUUUCAGAGAAAAGCAUAAAUUGGAAUAUGUAAAAUACCUUCAGUAGUUGAAUUUAAAAAAAUUGUACCGUUUAAGUUUAAACAAAAAGAGGAACAUUUAGCUACCUGUCUUUUCGCCACCUUACCUUUUGCCUGUUUAUAUUCUGAUGCCUCAGUAUAUACUCCAAAUGAAGAUUUACCUUCAUUACUUUAUUAAUUUUUUACUCAGGAUACCUGAAUAAUGUCUUACAUUGUUGGCUACAGAUAUAUUUUUAUUUAUGAUUUUUACAAGCUGCUACAGCUUUUCACACUAGUGAAGCUCAAGCACUACCGUGGCAAUAAAUGCACCACCCUUCUGGAAAGCUGCCACUGCAGUGCAUUUGUGUCGCUUCAGUUCUGACAAAGAUUUACAAGUACUUGACCUUUUCAGCUGAGAAAAAAAUCUUCCAUUUCUGAAUGCUUUUGCACUUAUGCUAAUUUCAAAUCCUGUUUUUUAACAGACUAUGAAAUUACAUGACAGAAACUAAUGACAUUAGCAACAUUGGGUUUGUACCUAGAUCCCAACUAACUGUAUAAAUAGAGUAUGAUAUAUGAAAAAGAAAGUCAGAAAUGAGCAUGAACUUGUGCUUUCUGGACAAAUAUUAACAAAAGGAACUCUGAGUAACUGUGACUGGAAAUUAUGCUCUGAAUAAGUUUGAGAAAUUUGUUACUUUUUUGGUAAUGAAUAUACAAAACAGCCUUCAUGAUUGCAAAUGCUUAUAUUUGAUACAUAAAUAUUCUCUGAAGGGCUUGGAUAUGCAAUUGUGGUUUUUUGUGAAAAUUUAUACAAUAUUUGGUCUAGUGAUUGUCUGGGUUUUUUUGGCAUGAGUGUGCAGACAUCUCGGAGAGUGUAUACUUAUUCUCCUUCUUCUAGAUUUGCUUAAAGGCAGAGUUAUUAACAACAAAAUGAUUGCAGAGUUACUUUGUCCCAACUAUGAACAAGAAAUUCACAUAAUUUCAGAAGGAAACUUUAGUCUUUGGGAUCUCUGGAGCUGUAGAAAGCAUAUGGGAGGUAAAAUGCAUAUCCACAAUUAAAGUCAACACUGAACACAGCCUCUGGAUUUCUAGCAGUUUUACUCAGAGGAACAAGCAGAAGGGGUGCUGAGGAAAAAUGCUGGAGGCCCUCAAAUUGUUUCUGCUGCAGCCACUGUUAUCAUCCACAAAGAGGAGCUGGAGACCCAUGACAGUGGGGUGUAUAAGGUGGUGUCUGCUGCAAGGUGCCCAAAGAAAAAUGAGGAAUGGUAUUGUAGUAUUGCAUUUUCUGCAGCUCCUCCUGUAACUGCAGUAGUGUUAAUAUCACAUUAUCCAAGUACAGAUUAGCUUCCCAUCCAGACGGCAUAAAGCCUUUCAAGGAAUUCUGAGCUGGCUGCAUUGGCCAGAAGCCCACUCACAGUGGAAACCCAGCUGAAGGAGUGUUGACAGGAGUAUGAUGGUUUAGAAACAUUACAGCAUGGAUAUACGUCAAAUCUGCAGUACAAAAUAGAGUGUUUCACAUAGUAGCCCUGUCUUCCAUGACACCUAAAUCAGCUCCUCAAACCCCAAGGGUGGAUGUAAUUGUCCUUCUGUCUCUGAACUGGGCUCUGAAUUUCUUACAUGAAGUAAAAAUAGUACUAUUAGAAAUCUUUUAGUAAAGAGAGAGAUCCUUUUUCCAUAGGUGAAUAGAUUUUUCCUAUUCUCUUUUCCUGACUAAAGAGGGAAGAAAAAAAUCUCUUGCCUCAUAUGAGAACUAAUAAAAUGAUAUCAGCCUUGUAACUUCUUAGCUGGAUCUUCUGAUUUUCAUCCUGCUUUCAUACUCUGUUUGUGUGGCUCUGUCGUAACCCCAAAACAGAUUUUUGAUGAGUAGAAGAGCGGAUUUCCAUUGGUAAGAAUACUGUUUUUCCCUUUCAAAAUAAUCCCUUUUCUAUCUAAUAAAAAUUCAUGUUAUAUUGUUGUUCAUAUUAUGAAGAUUUUAUCUCCAAUAACAUCAGUUUCUAAAUGGCCAGAGAGCACAAGUUUUGGAAAAAGCUGUCAGGCUCCCUUAUUUCUUUUCAUUUCAGUGUCAUUGUUAUUCCAAGCCUUUUUGCUUGGUUAGCACACUGAAUAUGAGCAUGUGCUUCUAAGCACAUUCGCACAGAUUCACAGGUAAAUAAUAGUAAUAUAUUACUCUUUAGUGGUAAUUAUGUAGUUCAAGAACUAAAAUUGUUUACUCAAUAUUAUAUUAAUAAUAAACUUUAAAAAACUUGCUGAGUAUGAAACAUGAGACCUUUUCAGUAAAAUCUACAAGUAGGCUGAGCAUUAUUUGCUUUUCUGCGGUGUUAAGAACUACAAGCUUUUAAGCUUGUAAAGAACUUGUAAAUAGCAGUGAGUGAUUCUAUCUAAAAAUGUGAGGAAAACAACAUUUAAAAUAAAUUAUAAAUUAUAAAAUUCAGAAAAAUUGCAGAAGUUCUUGGAAACAUCUGUUUGGAUAUUUUUGGUAUCAUUUUGUUACCUGGUUCUUCGAAAGAAAGUCAUAAAUUGGAGGCCAUAUAUUUGCUUACAUGUAAUAUAUAUGAAAUAAUUACAUAUGAAGUUAGCUUCAUCUGAGUGAAAAAGAAGAAUUCUCCAAAAUUUCCUGAAAUGCAUGGCAAAUGAUUCACACCAGGAUCUUUGUAAAUAACAGGCUCAUUUCCUACUACCUCCAAACCAGAUUAUUUUAUUUUUGGGACAUAUCGUUCACUACUUGUCAUUCCUACUUACCUUAUCUGUGAGUUACUACCAGUUGCUUAAUCUUUGCAUUCUGCUACAGUUGUGUGAGAGUUUGUUUUGAAUGAAUUCUCUCACUGCAGCAAUAAGUAUCCUGUGUUCUCUUUUUUCUUUUUUUUCUAAGAGUCUUAAGUUCUUUGGAGGUAAUUUUAUCUCAGGCAGGUGCUUCACUCAAAAGGAGGGGUUGUUUCUUUCAUAAAGAUUCCAAAUGUUUAAGAAAAUCUGCAGCAUCAAUGCAAUAGCUACAGAGGAAAAAGAAAGAAGAGGGGCAAAAAACUGAAGGCAGAAUAGAGGAGGAAGGAGACAACUGCAACUAUGACUGAAGGGAAAUGAUAAGGAGAGGUUAAAAUGGAAGAUUAAGAGGAAGACAGGACAGGGGAAUGAAAAGGGAAGAAUCUCUUACUUUCUAAAAAUUCCUACAUCACCUUUGUUUGACUUUAGAAAUAUAAAGCUAUUAAAAAUUUUUGAAAUUCAGGUGGUAUACACUUGAGAAAUAAACAUACUGCCAUUUUAAAUGUUGUAAAGAAGCUUAGCUUGGGCAAUUCUACCUGGAUUUUUACCUAUCUAAAACACAUACAACAUGAAGACCAAUUUACAAACCUACCUUGCCUGUCUUAGAGUUCAAUAUGCCAUAAAACUGAUAGAUUUUAGAUGCCAAUAUUUUAUCAUAUUGGCUUAAAAAAUAUUAAGCUAAAAUUUCAUAGUCUGGAGUUUCUUGAAGAAAUCAUAUGAGUUGCAACAUGAGUUGGUCUCUAAAGGGGCAACACCCAUUUGAAGAAGAUGAAACAGACAAUCACUUGCAAGAUAAAACCUGCAGAAGGCAGAACCUAUGAAAAAGGUUCAGACUGGUCUCAGUUCAUGGAACGUUUUCAAAAAAACACCAAGGAUACAGAGUGGAACUUGGGGAAGAAAGAGUAGAGAACUUUGGUUUUAACUACCCUCUUUGAAGAUGAGUUGAAUGAGCCAUCUCAGUCACAGGCUGGAAAUAUCAGACUGUGGGUUUCAGUCUGUUGGAAGCAAAACCACCUUUUUUCCAAGGCUCAAUUAGGAUGUUGGAUUUAAGUAAGAUUUUUAAUUGUUAAUAGAGUACCUGGUAAUUAAAUAUACACAUAAAUAAACUCAUGCCUAACAUUUUUAAAUCAGCUUGGUGUUUUAGUCUCCAAAU